rnacentral:rRNA from 1 species
UGGACGAGGCUAUUCUUGAAGAUUAAGCCAUGCACGUGCUAAGUACAAACGAUUAUUUCGUGAGACUGCGGACGGCUCAGUAUAUCAGUGAUUAUCUAUUUGAUUGUCUACCCCAUUGGAUAACCGUGGGAAAUCUAGAGCUAAUACAUGCAAGAUCUUGGGGCGGAUUAACGUCUGUUCCAAAGCAUUUAUUAGACUAAACCAACUACUGUGUGCUUGCAUAUAGUAAGGCGAAUCUAGAUAACUUUGCUGAUCGUAUGGCCUUUGUGCCGACGACGUUUCAAUUGAGUUUCUGCCCUAUCAACUUGUUGGUAAGGUAUUGGCUUACCAAGGUUGCAACGGGUAACGGGGAAUCAGGGUUCGAUUCCGGAGAGGGAGCCUGAGAAACGGCUACCACAUCCAAGGAAGGCAGCAGGCACGGAAAUUACCCAAUCUAGACAGUAGGAGGUGGUGAAGAGAAUUACUAAGUGGUGAUCUAAUGAUUACCAGCUUGGAAUGAACGUAAUUUAAGCAAUUCGAUGAGUAACUACUGGAGGGCAAGUCCUGGUGCCAGCAGCCGCGGUAAUUCCAGCUCCAGUUGCCUCCUCUAAAGUUGUUGCGUUUAAAACGCUCGUAGUUGGAUCACGCAGGGGUAAUCAGUUAUCGUACUGUAAUGCCAGUUAUAUCUCUUGCGUUUUUAAAACGUAAAGGGUGAUUGGUAUGCGUAUUGAUAAUUAAGCUGGUUGCCUCUAUUUGCACGCGAGUGUGAUAGUUGACCUUUAAUGCGUUGAGUAUCACGACUUGCGGGGUGUGCCUUGAAUAAAACAGAGUGCUCAAAGCAGGCUUUGCUUGAAUGUUGUAGCAUGGAACGAACAAACGUGUAUACGUACGUGUUACUCAACGUGGGAGGGUCCUUGAUUCGCCCACGUUGUCGAUGCGUACAGCACCUACCAAAAUAUGGAUGUUGGUUCCGUAUACGGUGAUGAUUAAAAGGAGCGGUUGGGGGCAUUGGUAUUUGGCCGCGAGAGGUGAAAUUCUUAGACCGGCCAAGGACUAACAAAUGCGAAGGCAUUUGUCUAGACCGUUUCCAUUAAUCAAGAACGAAAGUGGGAGGUUCGAAGACGAUCAGAUACCGUCCUAGUUCCCACUGUAAACUAUGCCGACCUGGGAUCAGUUUGGAGAUAUACAAGCUCUAGGUUGAUCCCCCUGGGAAACCUCAAGUUUUUCGGUUACGGGGAGAGUAUGGUCGCAAGGCUGAAACUUAAAGGAAUUGACGGAAGGGCACCACCAGGGGUGGAGCCUGCGGCUUAAUUUGACUCAACACGGGGAAACUUACCUGGUCCGGACAUUGAUAGGAUAAACAGACUGAUAGAUCUUUUUUGAUGCGGUGAGUGGUGGUGCAUGGCCGUUCUUAGUUCGUGGAGUGAUCUGUCAUGUUAAUUCAGGUAACGAACGAGACCACAGGUGCUGUGUCAUGAAUGCUUCGGUGUUUAUGAUGUAGUGCUUGUAGAUAUUUUUGGCAUGAGCUUUGGAUGUAGAGUAGGGGAAACUUUGCUUCAAGUCUGGAAUUUAUGUCGAUUGUUCCUUUCAUCAAACAGUGGUGUGUGCAAACAUACUGCUGUAUUAUCGGGAGACAACGAGGUAUACUAAAGCUCGCGGAAGAGUGGCUAUAACAGAUCAGUGAUGCCCUUCGAUGUUCAGGGCUGCACGCGCGCUACAAUGAUAACAACAACAAGUGUCUGGGUCGAAAGACUUGGGUAAUCUAUAAUUGUUAUCGUGAUGGGGAUUGACCGUUGUAAUUUUCGGUUAUGAAAGAGGAAUCCCUCGUAUAUGCAUUUUAAUAGAAUGUGUAGAAUGAGUCCCUGCCCUUUGUACACACCGCCCGUCGCUACUACCGAGUGAAUGGUGUCAUGAUGCCUUGGGACUGGACACUGAUGGGGUUUUCGGAUCUUGUUAAGUGCUAGAAUCAGCGUAAAAUGGCGCAAUUUCGAGGAAGUAAAAGUCGUAACAAGGUUU